UACGUAGGGGCCAAGCGUUGUCCGGAUUUAUUGGGCGUAAAGAGCUCGUAGGCGGUUCGGCAAGUCAGCUGUGAAAUCUCCACGCUCAACGUGGAGGGGUCAGCUGAUACUGCUGUGACUCGAGUCCGGUAGGGGAGUGUGGAAUUCCCGGUGUAGCGGUGAAAUGCGCAGAUAUCGGGAGGAACACCAGUAGCGAAGGCGGCACUCUGGGCCGGUACUGACGCUGAGGGAGCGAAAAGCGUGGGGAGCAAACAGG
rnacentral:rRNA from 1 species